rnacentral:rRNA from 1 species
GAUGAACGCUGGCGGCGUGCCUAAUACAUGCAAGUCGAGCGAACAGACGCGGCGCUUGCUCCUUUGACGUUAGCGGCGGACGGGUGAGUAACACGUAGGUAACCUACCUAAAAGACUGAGAUCAUCUCGGGAAACCGGAGAUAACACCGGAUGAUAUUUCGCACCGCAUGGUUCGAUGGUGAAAGAUGGCGUUGCUGUAACUUAUAGAUGGACCUGAGCCGUAUUGGCUAGUUGUUAAGGUCACGGCUUACCAAGGGAACGAUACGUAGCCGACCGGAGAGGGUGAUCGGCCACAUUGGAACGUAGACACGGUCCAGACUCCUGCGGGAGGCCGCAGAAGGGAACCUUACGCAAUGGGCGAAAGCCUGACGGAGCAACGCCGCGUGAGUGAUGAAGGUCUUCGGAUCGUAAAACUCUGUUAUUAGGGAAGAACAAAUGUGUAAGUAACUGUGCACGGCGUGACGGUACCUAAUCAGAAAGCCACGGCUAACUACGUG